AUUGAACGCUGGCGGCAUGCUUUACACAUGCAAGUCGGACGGCAGCACAGAGAAGCUUGCUUCUUGGGUGGCGAGUGGCGAACGGGUGAGUAAUAUAUCGGAACGUACCGAGUAAUGGGGGAUAACUAAUCGAAAGAUUAGCUAAUACCGCAUAUUCUCUGAGGAGGAAAGCAGGGGACCUUCGGGCCUUGCGUUAUUCGAGCGGCCGAUAUCUGAUUAGCUAGUUGGUGGGGUAAAGGCCUACCAAGGCGACGAUCAGUAGCGGGUCUGAGAGGAUGAUCCGCCACACUGGGACUGAGACACGGCCCAGACUCCUACGGGAGGCAGCAGUGGGGAAUUUUGGACAAUGGGCGCAAGCCUGAUCCAGCCAUGCCGCGUGUCUGAAGAAGGCCUUCGGGUUGUAAAGGACUUUUGUCAGGGAAGAAAAGGCUGUCGCUAAUAUCGACAGCUGAUGAUGGUACCUGAAGAAUAAGCACCGGCUAACUACGUGC
rnacentral:rRNA from 1 species